UGGGGGUGUGUGGGACCCCAUGGAAAAUCAGACUGUUCAACUCACCUGGCAGCCACUGACAGAGCCCCUGGAAAUCUGGCCCAAGACUCUCUAACUGACUCCUUCCCAGAUCUUCUCAGUUUAGAGUCUGAAGACUGACACUGCCCGAUCACCUUGGAAGCCCCCUAAACCAUCUUGGAUGCUGAGCUUCGGGUAACUCUCACAGUGGUGGAUUUCUGCAUCCUCUCAGUCAUGAUGAUAAAGGAUUUACUACCUCAGUCAUGUCACCACUCUUGAAUAUCAUUCCCAUGGCAUGGUGCAGUAGGAACUGGUUGACUUUUAAAACUAAGUUAUAAUAAUCUUAAAGCGAUUGGAAAUUGAGAAGAAUGUAAUGGAAAAUAUAUUUAUAUGGCUUGGUUAGCCAAAAUUCCCUCAUAAAGCACCAACCUGCAGGAUCCCUUAGCAAUUUACUGAAGAUGAAAAAUAAGCAGAACAACUUUUUAUAGGUCUGUAGUCACUAGAGAUUAAUUACAAACACUAGGUGUAUUUUAACCUAAUUCUUGGUUCCUGAA